AAUAAAGCAAUGUAGUCACAAAGGCAUCAAUACAAGUUCAAGCUUUUUGUUUUUGUUUUUUUUUCCCAAUAGAGUGUUCAUGAGAGCAAUCAACACGCCUUCGAACAUAAGCCAAACGGGCCACUCUCAUCGACACGUUUUCAGACAUAGGUCAAAUGGGCCACUCUCACCGACAUGUCUCCGAACGCAGGCUAAACGAGUCAUACUCAUCGGCAUGUCUCCGGACGUAGGCCAAAUGAGC
rnacentral:lncRNA from 1 species